rnacentral:rRNA from 1 species
GACGAACCGUGCGAACGUUGUUCGGAAUCACUGGGCUUAAAGGGCGCGUAGGCGGGCUCAAAAGUCAGGGGUGAAAUCCCACGGCUCAACCGUGGAAGUGCCUUUGAUACUGUGAGCCUCGAGGGAGGUAGGGGCGUGCGGAACUUCCGGUGGAGCGGUGAAAGUGCGUAGAUAUCGGAAGGAACACCGGUGGCGAAAGCGGCGCGCUGG